rnacentral:tRNA from 1 species
GCCCGGGUGGUGAAAUUGGCAGACGCGCUAGGUUCAGGGUCUAGUCUCCGACGGAGGUGCGAGUUCGAGUCUCGCCCCGGGCA